rnacentral:tRNA from 1 species
UAGCCGAGUGGUUAUGGCUAUGGAUCGCCAAUCCAGAGACGGCGGGUUCGAUUCCCGU